rnacentral:rRNA from 1 species
UACGUAGGGGGCAAGCGUUGUCCGGAUUUAUUGGGCGUAAAGAGCGUGUAGGCGGCCACACAGGUCUGCUGUGAAAACUCGAGGCUCAACCUCGAGCUGUCGGUGGAAACCGUGUGGCUAGAGUCCGGAAGAGGAGAGUGGAAUUCCCGGUGUAGCGGUGAAAUGCGCAGAUAUCGGGAAGAACACCCGUGACGAAGGCGGCUCUCUGGGACGGUACUGACGCUGAGACGCGAAAGCGUGGGGAGCGAACAGG